CCGAGAUCGUGACCGUUUUCCUGGCUGAGCGGAACGUGGAUUCCCUGACACGCUCGCUGAACGGCGUUCCGAUCCGGUUUUCCGACACGUUCCUGAAGUUAACCUGGCAGCGCUGCUUGGACUCUAUACAACCUGGUGUCGAGCGGUGUGGUCGGAUGCCACGGUGUGAAAUCAGCGUCUGGCGGCGUUGGAGUGAGUUUCAGCUCAACCUGUUCCCGAGAUUAACGCAGCCGCGAUCACAACGGCCGUGUUUUCACCGCACUGCCAUGGCGAUAAGCGGGGAGACGAGGUGGAGGCGCAUCACGGAGGCGUCGAGCUGUCGUGCGGGAUCGGGAACCGGACUCCGGUGUUCCGCGUCGGGGCGUGCUGACAUCACCUCAUCCGCCUCAUAUGUCUUCUGUAUUCUCAAACUGCUCUGUAACCCGAUGCACUGGUUUUCAACAAAAGGCCAUUCACUGGCAGCUGAUCUGUGCAAAGAUCUCCCCGCUGCACACAAAUCCCGCUAUAGAGAAAUGACGUGCGUGUGAUUAUGUGCAUUCUGGACACAAGAUUUAGGCCCGUGGUUAUGUUUUUGUGUGUUGCUAAGCGUUGCGUGAGUCAGUCAUUGUGUGUAGUAUAAUGUAUCAGAUAAUGCACGUUUUUUAAUUCAAGUGAACAUAAUCCCAAUACAUGUUCUUUGCAUUUCUUCUUAGGGGGGUCUUCGUACAAGCCCCUUUGGGGUUUUUUUUAUUAACCUCUCCUGCACUUUUUUCUUUGUUCUGUAUGUUUUUGUCUUUUGUUUAACUUGCUUUGGUUGUGCAAAUAAAUAAAUACAUAAAAAUAAAAACUGUAAUUUUAGUAAUACAAAAUAUCAUUAU